rnacentral:rRNA from 1 species
GAUGAACGCUGGCGGCGUGCCUAAUACAUGCAAGUCGAGCGAACGGACGAGAAGCUUGCUUCUCUGAUGUUAGCGGCGGACGGGUGAGUAACACGUGGAUAACCUACCUAUAAGACUGGGAUAACUUCGGGAAACCGGAGCUAAUACCGGAUGAUAUUUUGAACCGCAUGGUUCAAAAGUGAAAGACGGUCUUGCUGUCACUUAUAGAUGGAUCCGCGCUGCAUUAGCUAGUUGGUAAGGUAACGGCUUACCAAGGCAACGAUGCAUAGCCGACCUGAGAGGGUGAUCGGCCACACUGGAACUGAGACACGGUCCAGACUCCUAUGGGAGGCAGCAGUAGGGAAUCUUCCGCAAUGGGCGAAAGCCUGACGGAGCAACGCCGCGUGAGUGAUGAAGGUCUUCGGAUCGUAAAACUCUGUUAUUAGGGAAGAACAUAUGUGUAAGUAACUGUGCACAUCUUGACGGUACCGAAUCAGAAAGCCACGGCUAACUACGU